GAGUGACAGGGAUUAGUCCCGCCUCCACUGUGCCUCUCUCGUGCGCUCCCGAGAAGUGUAGCGUGUGCGGAACGCGACAGCCGAGCAGCAGAUAUCGGCCACUGAGCUUUGAUGAGCGGUGUUUAGGAAACUUGAUGAGCGCUUUUGGAGCUCCUUUCAGCGGCUGGUGAAGACGAGGGAGUGCUGCAGCGGUUCUCUUCUCCCACGGGUCGAAUCAAAAAAUGAAAUUCUGGAUUUGCGUGCUAGCGGUGGCCGUGGCAGUGCAGUCGACGCACGGAGGGGCUAACCCAGACGAGCCAUGUGCGGGUCAGGACUGCAGCGGAGGAUGCAGGUGUAACCCAGAGAAAGGAGGCAGGGUAAGUCUUCAGCUGCCAUG